GAAAAGUGACUCCACAAGAAACUGAUUUAAUAAUGAAUUCUAUCUAUCAUAAGCCUUCUUCAAAUUAUCUAUCACUUGAUAGGCCUUCUCUUGGUCGGCCACAACCUCCAACCUUCGACUAUCUACUCCAACAUUCGAUCUUGGCAUCCAGAAAGUAUGCUCUCUCUCUCCCUCUCUCCUCCCUCCCUUCCAUCAUCACACACCUCUUACCUUUCUCUCCAUCUCACACCUCCCUCAUUGUUUAAUCCUUUAUCCUCUACUCAAACCCUCACCCUUCUUAGUUGGCCACUAGUUAAGGGCCCUACUCCACCUCUCCCUUUCUCCUCUCGAUCUCGAAGUUUGCUUGCAAUGGUAAGAGGAGCUGGUAAGAGAUAUAAAUGGUUUAAGAGGUCAAUCUAGAUGUGUUGUCCACUUCGUGGUGCUUUGGUUGGUACCAUUGGUUUUGUUGAGGUGUUUUUGUUUUGUGCUCAACCGUUAAGUGGUCAGUACUUCGCUUGGCUGCUCCAAUUUUAGUUGCAACUACUCCUAUGCUCCUACCAAGAGUGCUUAGAUUGGUUUUGUUCUUGAUCCUUGGUGGAUUCUGAAGAAAUUUGAUGAAAGCAUAGCUAAAUAGUUGAGUAGCCUAGCUUUGCCAUUGCUUCCUUACUCUUUUGUUUAAUGAUUGAGAGUUUCAAAUGAUUUUGUGCUUGAUAUUGGUAUAUUCCUUGUACUUGUGAUUUUUGUUACUUGUUUGUUUGUUGAUUUUGAUAGCCUACUGAGAAUUGUUCUAAGUGUUUUGUUCGGAAUUUCUUCUCUGUUUGUAAUUGAAAGGUGUUGGACCAGCUCAUUCGUUCAUUUUUUGCAUCCCUAUGAUGAUCGUUUUGAGGGUUUAAACAUGGCUUUCUUUAGGUGUUUAAGGAAACUUGACAGAAUGGUGAGUAGCCAGUGCAUUACUAAGCUUUGCUCCCGCUCCCAUUCUGGUGAUUCUAUUUGAUUGUUCAAUAGCGGUUUGAUGAUUAGGUGAUUGAUUUGCUGCUUCCUUCAAGACAUUAAUCUGAAUUAAUUUGUUCCAUUAAUUUGAAUCAUUGCUUAACAUCAGUGAUUGUUAGCUAACUCAUUGUGAUCCUAGAAGGGAGAAAGAGGAGAGGGCUAGUUUAUUUGUCCUAUAUCCAAAUAUAAGAUAGGAUCAAUGAUGCAUAAGAUUUCCUCUCAAUGGCAUUUCGUGUAUGAUCCUAUAGGUUCAAACUUGGAUCCCGUCAUGAAGUUUAUCCUAAGGUUAUAAAUCCUAAGUACCCAAACAAGCUCUUAAGCUCAAUAUUUACCUAUAAAACUCUUAGAUGACUUUACCUUUGAGAUAUAUGCUAUUUUCUAUCUUUAAAUUAUUAAUGUCCACCUUGGGGCACCGAAGAGGAGGACAAUGGAGAUGGAGGCCAGGCAGCAUGGCCCUCUCGUUCUCGCUCUCUAGCUAGCGAACAAUUGUGCACGGAGAGCAUUGUCCACCGGUGGAAGUAAGGCAUCUUCUUUAGAGCUACUUUUUACUCUCUCUCCUUCUUCUUCUUCUUUUUCUUUUUUUUUUUGUUGGUCAAAACGGUAUUUCAUUUCAGAUACCUCUAACACGAAUACAACCAGAACUAUCAAAGAAAAGUAAACAAAAUAAAGCGUGUGGGAUGCCAUCUAAACUAGACCAGAAGGCCUCCCCAGUAUGCCGGGCAACAUAAGAGGCGACCCAGUCUGCUGCACUGUUCGCCUCUCGAUAGGCAUGGGCAAUCUGACAAGAAG
rnacentral:lncRNA from 1 species